GUGGCUGUAGUGUAUUCCGGCAGCAUGUGGGACUGUGGAUCCUUUGGACCGGGUUCAAAUCCCGGCAGCCGCC
rnacentral:tRNA from 1 species